UACAGAGGUCUCAAGCGUUGUUCGGAUUCAUUGGGCGUAAAGGGUGCGUAGGUGGCGCCGUAAGUCAGGUGUGAAAUCUCGGAGCUCAACUCCGAAACUGCACUUGAUACUGCGGUGCUCGAGUACUGGAGAGGAGAUUGGAAUUUACGGUGUAGCAGUGAAAUGCGUAGAUAUCGUAAGGAAGACCAGUGGCGAAGGCGAAUCUCUGGACAGUUACUGACACUGAGGCACGAAGGCCAGGGGGAGCAAAACCGGG
rnacentral:rRNA from 1 species